rnacentral:rRNA from 1 species
AUUAAACGCUGGCGGCAUGCCUUACACAUGCAAGUCGAACGGUAGCGCGGGGCAACCUGGCGACGAGUGGCGAACGGGUGAGUAAAGCAUCGGAACGUGCCCUGGAAUGGGGGAUAACGUAGCGAAAGUUACGCUAAUACCGCAUAUUCUGUGAGCAGGAAAGCAGGGGAUCGCAAGACCUUGCGUUCUGGGAGCGGCCGAUGUCGGAUUAGCUAGUUGGUGGGGUAAAAGCCUACCAAGGCGACGAUCCGUAGCGGGUCUGAGAGGAUGAUCCGCCACACUGGGACUGAGACACGGCCCAGACUCCUACGGGAGGCAGCAGUGGGGAAUUUUUGGACAAUGGGCGGAAGCCUGAUCCAGCCAUGCCGCGUGAGUGAAGAAGGCC